rnacentral:lncRNA from 1 species
UAAAAAUAAAAAAUUAACUUUUGAAGUUUCGAGCGUCUUCAGAAUUUAGAUAAUAAGCAAAAGUUAUAUGUCUUUGAAUAGCGAUUCAAAGGACGAUCAAAAUUUUCAGACAAUACAGACAACGAUCACCUAGUACAGGGAAAAUAUCAGCAUUUAUUGACUUUCAUUUAAGAUAACACGAAGGAAAUAUGCCAUCCUUAAUACAACAUACAACACACUAUCAAGUUAAGAAAAUGGCACCUUUGAACUCCAACCUCAUCCUGAAACAAAUAUUGUCCCGCUUGACGAUACAUCUCUCUACCC